UAAGACAGAGGGUGCGAACGUUGUUCGGAAUUACUGGGCGUAAAGCGCGUGUAGGCGGUGAGGCAAGUCGGAUGUGAAAGCCCAGGGCUCAACCCUGGAAGUGCACUCGAUACUGCCUUGCUGGAGUCCCGGAGAGGAUGGUGGAACUCUCGGUGUAGAGGUGAAAUUCGUAGAUAUCGAGAAGAACACCGGUGGCGAAGGCGGCCAUCUGGACGGUGACUGACGCUGAGACGCGAAAGCGUGGGGAGCAAACAGGAUUAGAUACCCUGGUAGUCCACGCCGUAAACGAUGGGUGCUAGGUGUCAUGGGUAUUGACCCCUAUGGUGCCGAAGCUAACGCAUUAAGCACCCCGCCUGGGAAGUACGGCCGCAAGGCUAAA
rnacentral:rRNA from 1 species